UGAUGGUCGAAUACUGCAAUAACAAUUUUAGUUAGAAACCCUUCUUAAACUAUAUAAAACAUUUUCGCUGUGUACUCGCCCUUUGUGAUAAUGUCGGCAGAUUAUGAAGAGAGACCUAGAGACAAUGGCCCCGAGGGCAUGGAGCCAGAUGGAGUCAUUGAAAGUAACUGGCAUGAGAUUGUGGACAGCUUUGAUGACAUGAACCUGCGUGAAACUCUUCUCAGGGGAAUCUAUGCUUAUGGUUUUGAGAAGCCCUCUGCCAUCCAGCAAAGGGCUAUCCUCCCUUGUAUCAAGGGAUAUGAUGUCAUUGCACAGGCCCAGUCGGGCACGGGCAAGACUGCCACCUUUGCCAUCUCCAUCCUGCAGCAGAUUGAUAUAGAGCUUCGAGGUUCUCAGGCCUUGGUUCUGGCACCCACCCGUGAAUUGGCUCAGCAGAUCCAGAAAGUGAUUCUGGCUCUUGGAGACUAUAUGGGUGCAACAUGCCAUGCCUGUAUCGGUGGGACCAAUGUGCGAAAUGAGGUCCAGAAGCUGCAGGCAGAGGCACCGCAUAUUGUAGUAGGAACCCCAGGUCGUGUCUACGACAUGCUUAAUCGAAAGUUCCUCUCUUCUAAGUACAUUAAAAUGUUUGUACUGGAUGAAGCAGAUGAGAUGCUGAGUCGUGGUUUCAAGGACCAGAUCUAUGAGAUUUUCCAGAAACUCACUACUAGCAUACAGGUGGUGCUGCUGUCAGCCACCAUGCCUGCGGAGGUGCUGGAUGUCACUACCAAGUUUAUGCGAGAGCCAGUGCGUAUCCUGGUGAAGAAAGAGGAGCUUACCCUUGAGGGUAUUCGUCAGUUCUACAUCAAUGUUGAAAAAGAGGAAUGGAAGCUGGACACUCUCUGUGAUCUAUACGAGACUCUUACUAUCACUCAGGCAGUGAUCUUCAUUAACACACGGCGGAAAGUAGACUGGCUCACAGAAAAGAUGCACGCCAGGGACUUCACUGUCUCAGCUCUGAAGAAAGUGUAUUCAGCUGAAGAAAAAUGCUUAACAGGUUUGGAACAUCAUGAGGCAUGGAGACAUGGAUCAAAAGGAUCGUGACCUGAUUAUGAGGGAGUUUCGCUCUGGUUCUAGCCGUGUCCUUAUUACCACAGAUUUGCUGGCCAGAGGUAUUGAUGUCCAGCAGGUGUCUUUGGUCAUCAACUAUGACUUGCCAACCAACCGUGAGAAUUACAUUCAUAGGAUUGGUAGAGGAGGCCGUUUUGGCAGGAAGGGUGUAGCCAUCAACAUGGUGACAGAAGAUGACAAGCGUACUCUGAGGGACAUAGAGACCUUCUACAACACUACUGUAGAAGAGAUGCCCAUGAAUGUGGCUGACUUGAUCUAGAGAUUUAUUUGAGCUGAUCUAGAGACACCUCUCUCCAUCUCCAACAUCUCUCUCACUUUAUUUUCCAGUUUAAGCUCUUCUGAAUGGAAUCUUCCACAAAUACAAAUUAGUCAUUUCAUCUCCCCAAAACUGAUAAAAAAUUUUAUUUUCAGAUCCUGAAAGUACUUCAUCUCAAUCAACUUUGAUUUAAAAAAAAAAACACAUUUGAAAUAUGGGCUCAGUCAUCUUCUGUUAUGAAGAAGAGUAGCAUGUUUUGUGACUCUACUCUCAAUUAAUUAUCCUGGGCUCUUUUUUUUUUAAUUUCAUUUUUUGUAGCUGGGAAUCAUCAGACUUUGGAUGAAGAAUUGUCUUCAGUUACUGGUUUCCAGCUUCUGUGCGUUGACAAUUCUUUAAAGCACACCUCAUGCUGCUAAUGUACUUCAGCCAUGUGGUAAAAGGGUGCUAGCUUUUAGACCGACAUGAAUAGCAUUGGAUUGGAUUCAUUCUCUGGAUCCAACUACUCGGACGGUAAAAUCCAAGUAGUUACUGUACUUGCUGUACUGUUUUCUGUAAAACUGUACCAGAACCAUUUAAUCACCUUGAACACAGCAUAUGAUGCGAGAUGUCUGAGUAAUGUGGCCUUCCUGAAUUUAGAGAUUUGGAAGUUCUUGCGCAAAUUAAUUUUGACUGAAGGUGGUACAAAAAUUUGAUAGAAAAGAAAAUUGCAACUUUUUUUCUUUUUUAAAACAUUUAAAUUAUCUUGUUUAUUGUAUUUUGUUUUGUUUUUGGAGGAGAGGGAAAUCUCAAUAAAACUACAGCCUAACUGGU